CUCGGGUUGAUCCUGCCGGACCCGACUGCUAUCAGAGUGGGACUAAGCCAUGCGAGUCGACGUAGCAAUGCGUGGCGAACGGCUCAGUAACACGUAGUCAACAUGCCCAGGGGACGUGGAUAACCUCGGGAAACUGAGAAUAAACCACGAUAGGUCACGAUUUCUGGAAUGGAUCAUGGCCUAAAUCUACAUGGCCCCUGGAUUGGACUGCGGCCGAUCAGGCUGUUGGUGAGGUAAUGGCCCACCAAACCUAUAACCGGUACGGGCUCUGAGAGGAGAAGCCCGGAGAUGGGCACUGAGACAAGGGCCCAGGCCCUAUGGGGCGCAGCAGGCGCGAAACCUCUGCAAUAGGCGAAAGCCUGACAGGGUUACUCUGAGUGAUUUCCGCUAAGGGGAUCUUUUGGCACCUCUAAAAAUGGUGCAGAAUAAGGGGUGGGCAAGUCUGGUGUCAGCCGCCGCGGUAAUACCAGCACCCCGAGUGGUCGGGACGAUUAUUGGGCCUAAAGCAUCCGUAGCCGGUUCUGCAAGUCUUCCGUUAAAUCCAGCCGCUCAACGGAUGGGCCGCGGAGGAUACUACAGGACUAGGAGGCGGGAGAGGCAAGCGGUACUCAGUGGGUAGGGGUAAAAUCCUUUGAUCCAUUGAAGACCACCAGUGGCGAAGGCGGCUUGCCAGAACGCGCUCGACGGUGAGGGAUGAAAGCUGGGGGAGCAAACCGGAUUAGAUACCCGGGUAGUCCCAGCUGUAAACGAUGCAGACUCGGUGAUGGGCUAGCCUUGUGCCAGCCCAGUGCCGCAGGGAAGCCGUUAAGUCUGCCGCCUGGGGAGUACGGUCGCAAGACUGAAACUUAAAGGAAUUGGCGGGGGAGCA
rnacentral:rRNA from 1 species